rnacentral:rRNA from 1 species
AACGAACGCUGGCGGCAGGCCUAACACAUGUAAGUCGAGCGAGGGAGCAAUCCCUAGCGGCGGACGGGUGAGUAACGCGUGGGAACGUGCCCCUUGGUACGGAAUAGCCCCGGGAAACUGGGAGUAAUACCGUAUGUGGUCGAGAGACGAAAGAUUUAUCGCCAAGGGAUCGGCCCGCGUUGGAUUAGGUAGUUGGUGGGGUAAUGGCCUACCAAGCCGACGAUCCAUAGCUGGUUUGAGAGGAUGAUCAGCCACACUGGGACUGAGACACGGCCCAGACUCCUACGGGAGGCAGCAGUGGGGAAUCUUAGACAAUGGGGGAAACCCUGAUCUAGCCAUGCCGCGUGAGCGAUGAAGGCCUUAGGGUUGUAAAGCUCUUUCGUGGGGGAAGAUAAUGACUGUACCCCAAGAAGAAGCCCCGGCUAACUCCGUG